rnacentral:rRNA from 1 species
UUAGUUUUAUAAUUUAAAACUGGAAUGAAAGAAUUAACUAGAAGAUAAAUAUUUUUGUUAAAAAAAUUUAAGUUUACUUUUUAUUAAAAAGGAUAAAAUAAAUUUUAUAGACAAGAAGACCCUGUAAAAUUUUACAUAUACUAUACAUAAAAUUAUAUCUUAUGUUUUGCUGGGGCGGUAAAAAAGAAAACGUUUUUAAUUUUAUAAAUUUAUUUCAAUAACUGAAAAUUUCAAAUUUAGAAUAAAUUACUUCAGGGAUAACAGCGUUAUUUACUUUAAAAGUUCUUAUUGACAAGUAAGUUUGCGACCUCGAUGUUGAAUUAAGUAACCUUUAUUAUGAAAAGAUAAU